rnacentral:rRNA from 1 species
UACAGAGGUCUCAAGCGUUGUUCGGAUUCAUUGGGCGUAAAGGGUGCGCAGGCGGCCGUGUGUGUGAGGAGUGAAAGCCUGGAGCUUAACUCCAGAAUUGCACCUCAAACUACAUGGCUAGAGCAUUGGAGAGGGUAGCAGAAUUCAUGGUGUAGCAGUGAAAUGCGUAGAUAUCAUGAGGAAUACCAGAGGCGAAGGCGGCUACCUGGACAAUUGCUGACGCUCAGGCACGAAAGCGUGGGGAGCAAAAGGG